rnacentral:rRNA from 1 species
ACUAACUGGAGGACCGAACCGACUAAUGUUGAAAAAUUAGCGGAUGACUUGUGGCUGGGGGUGAAAGGCCAAUCAAACCGGGAGAUAGCUGGUUCUCCCCGAAAGCUAUUUAGGUAGCGCCUCGUGAAUUCAUCUCCGGGGGUAGAGCACUGUUUCGGCAAGGGGGUCAUCCCGACUUACCAACCCGAUGCAAACUGCGAAUACCGGAGAAUGUUAUCACGGGAGACACACGGCGGGUGCUAACGUCCGUCGUGAAGAGGGAAACAACCCAGACCGCCAGCUAAGGUCCCAAAGUCAUGGUUAAGUGGGAAACGAUGUGGGAAGGCCCAGACAGCCAGGAUGUUGGCUUAGAAGCAGCCAUCAUUUAAAGAAAGCGUAAUAGCUCACUGGUCGAGUCGGCCUGCGCGGAAGAUGUAACGGGGCUAAACCAUGCACCGAAGCUGCGGCAGCGACACUAUGUGUUGUUGGGUAGGGGAGCG